ensembl:lncRNA
CCCUUUUGCCGCAAGAGGUCACUGUUUGACCAUUAACGUGCCGGGAUGAGCGCGCACUGCUAAACAAACACACACACCAGAUAACCGCAGGGGGGCGGAUUUCAUGCACGAACCAGGUACAAGUCCCUCUUUAAGAAUUCAAAAAAUCCUCUACAAACACACACUUGGUUCUCUAGAGCCACCUGUCGGCGGGACUUUGACUUGUGCCUCGUCCUUCGUCCCGCUCGCACACCGCGGAGGCGCGCAGGUGUCGUGAUGCCUCAGAACGUUAUGAACCGUGACGGUGGACGAGGAGGAACUCGCCACAGCACCUGUAGAGCCUCCGGUCGGGGCCCGGGUCUGGUUCGUGGAGGCGCUGCUCUCAAUGGCGUGCUGGCCGCUCCUCCUCAGAGCACGGCUCGGUUCACCCAGGGGAACGGCGCCCAGCCACCGCGUGUGGUUGAGGGUGACGUUAACCAUUGGUACAAGAGCAAGAAGGCAGCGCCCCCGAGGACACUGAAGAAACGGGGAGGCCCCGCCUCCCCUGUCACUCAUGCCUCAGCGGCUGGCAGGGUCUGUAGUGCGGGCAGCCUCGCUGGUGUGUCGGGGAAGGGGGCCGCCAGUCUAGACGACGCCGCCGCCGCCUCGCCUGUUGACUGUCAACAAAUGGCGCCACGAGUCAUCCUGUCCAAGAACCAGAGAAGAAGAAACCGGAAAGCCUGUCCAGAGAACCAUACACUCUCAGGAAUACCACCCCCACCACCACCGGAGGAGGAGGAGGAGGACUGGGAAAAGGAGAGCCAAGAGGUCACGCUGAUUGACUGGGAAAAUAACUGUUUUGGCAUCAAUCCCUACGUCGACUCAGCGGCCCAAGUGAAAGGUCCCAUCAGUGAUCUCUGCUGAUAUUCUGACCUCCAAUUCCAGAAGAACUAACCUUGUAUUUCUAUUGCGGCGCUCUAAUAAUAGCGUUGCCUGAGCAACACACCUGUGCAUGUUUCAGCUUCCGAGACGCUGCGUUAUUGUGCACUUUGCACUGAGAGAGGACGCCCUCCCUGUUUUUGAAUUUGUACAUGUUCUGGUAUUCUCUGCCCUCCUCCAGGUCCACAGGAUGUGAUCCAUUUUUCCUUGCGGUAUUCACCCUUCCAGCGAAGGCACGAAGUCGUCCCACUAUUGAUGGCUGGUUACAGCCCGGAGGUGCACCACCCGCAGCCCGUCCGUUGGAGGCACUACGGCACCCCCACCGAGCAAGGGCAGUUUGCAGACGCUGACCACUAGGCCAGGCGUGUGCGGCUGUGUGACCGGGUCGGUAGAAAAAGUUCUGGAGUUUUCUUAUUGGUUAGAAUCACUGCAACAGCUUCAGUCCAAUAAUAAUAAUAAUAAUUGCGUUCAGUUGUUUUAUUUAUUUUUUGUUUUAUAUCUAUAUUUUAUAUUUAGGUUAAAUGGUAAGCUAUUCAUUUUUUUAUCUUAAGGAAUGAUUUUAGAUGAUCUGCUAUACUUUGCUGUUGUACCGCAUACAUUUACGGUUCUUUCCAUGUCUUCAUAACUUUGGCUAGAAUUCCAGGAAACUGAAGGAAUACCCUUUUAUUGUCAUGUUUACCCUUUGUUUUAAAAUGCCUCUAGUAGGAACAAUGUUGUCAUAGUUCAUUAUCAAUGUUUGUUCAUCAGAUUUGUGAGUAGAUGAAGAAACGAUUUUGAUUUGGGGUCACCCAACUCGACCACGAAAUUUGGUUUGGAUGCUGUAUCAACAAGUUGUGAUCUGACCUUUCACAGUUGCAAUAAAUCCAAUUUUCUUC